rnacentral:misc_RNA from 1 species
AAGUCGUAACAAGGUUUCCGUAGGUGAACCUGCGGAAGGAUCAUUAUCACGUUUAUCCACGUAUCAACCAUUGUGAACUAGUAUUGACCUUUGGAUUAGGAAGGUAGUUGUUGUAUUAAACCGUUAUCAAACAAUUAAAUGAUUGGAAAAUUGUUGAGGUUUAAUAUAACCAAACAAGUAAAAUUGUUUACUUUCUGAUUCAAAGUGUACUUUUUUUCCAAUCAAUUAUUUAUUAACUAUUUAAACCCAAAAUUUUUCUAAAUUUUGAACUGAUUUAAUUUCUUACUCUCUUCUGAGAGAAGAAAUAAAUGAUUACGAAACAUAAGAACAACUCUUAGCAACGGAUAUCUUGGUUCUC